rnacentral:misc_RNA from 1 species
UCCGGUUUAUCACCGGCGGUUUCCUUAGAGUUCCCGGCAUGACCCGCUGGCAACUAAGGAUAGGGGUUGCGCUCGUUACGGGACUUAACCCAACAUCUCACGACACGAGCUGACGACAGCCAUGCAGCACCUCUACAGGCGCCCUUGCGGGAGACCCUCUUUCGAGGGCUGUCGCCUGCAGUUCAAACCCAGGUAAGGUUCUUCGCGUUGCGUCGAAUUAAACCACAUGCUCCACCGCUUGUGCGGGCCCCCGUCAAUUCCUUUGAGUUUCAUUCUUGCGAACGUACUCCCCAGGUGGGGUGCUUAAUGCGUUAGCUACGGCACUGGAGGGGUCGAUACCUCCAACACCUAGCACCCAUCGUUUACAGCGUGGACUAC